CCCAGUUCGGAUUGUAGUCUGNAACCCGACUACAUGAAGCUGGAAUCGCUAGUAAUCGCGGAUCAGAAUGCCGCGGUGAAUACGUUCCCGGGUCUUGUACACACCGCCCGUCACACCAUGGGAGUCGGAAAUGCCCGAAGUCGGUGACCGAACCGAAAGGAAGGAGCCGCCGAAGGCAGGUCUGGUGACUGGGGUGAAGUCGUAACAAGGUAUC
rnacentral:rRNA from 1 species